rnacentral:tRNA from 1 species
CCGUAGCUCAGGGGCUAGAGCGCCAAGGCAACUUGGAGGUCGAUGGUUGGAAUCCUUCCGGAA